CUUUAAUCUACAGGGUCAAAAAGCUCUCAGAUUUGAUCAGAAAUAUCUUAAUUUGUGUUGUGAACAUGAGCGAAGGUCUUACAGGUUUGGAACGAGAUGAGGGAAUCGCACUGGUGGCUUCAGGAGGAAGUGAAAGAGCGAUGUUAGGACAUCUGCCACAAGAAAAAUAUGAGAACUUCAUCACCAUGUCAAAAGAAAUGAAGAAGAAGACUGUUAAGGAAUAUACAAAAUUUGUAUGCAGUCAUUCUGGAAACUGACAUGUGAGUUUUUCUUUUAUGUGCCUAGUAUACUCAAAACCCUCUUUACUUAUCUUUUCUGUAUUUAGGCGUUCAACUGCUACGCUAGUCCUAGGUUUGUCACUCAGCCCCUGCACUGCAGUACAAUUCUCUGGUCUCUCUAGAUCAAUAAUUAUCAAACAAAUGUUGAACUUUACCCUUUGGGUAGCUAUAAUUGACUGUUUUAAUAGAUGAUAUUAAACGUUUGAAGAAUAACUAUAUGACCUUCCAAUGGCCCUACCCCAGUAACCGGAUCGGGCAACUACCGGAGAAAGCUGGAAUGAACAUCAAAAAUAACAAGGAGAACUUUCUGACAGAGAUUGGGAAAAUCGUUCAAAGGAACACACUGCAUUACUAUUAUUCUGUUUGU